AACGACUCUCGGCAACGGAUAUCUCGGCUCUCGCAUCGAUGAAGAACGCAGCGAAAUGCGAUACUUGGUGUGAAUUGCAGAAUCCCGUGAACCAUCGAGUUUUUGAACGCAAGUUGCGCCCAAAGCCUUUCGGCUGAGGGCACGUCUGCCUGGGUGUCACGC
rnacentral:rRNA from 3 species